rnacentral:rRNA from 1 species
AUGCGUGAUCAGGUCGGCAUCGACCUGGAUGGCUCCCCCCUCGACCACAAGUUCCCGGACGACUAUGGGCUAGAGGAAGAGGACGAGUGCGACAUCGACGUGGAGCCCUUGUUCGAGGACGAGCUCGCCAACCAAGCCGCCGGUCCUAAGCCGAAGCGCAAGAGCAAGCGGACGAAGGCGUACACGGAGGCCGAGGACAAGCUUCUUCGCUAGUGUUGGCGAGACAUUGGACAAGACCACAAGACGGGCGCCGAGCAAAAGCAUUCAACCUUUUGGAUUCAUGUCCAUCGAGAGUUUCAUGAGCGCAAGAAGUUUCCACCGUACCAAUUUGUGAGCACGCGCGGGUGGGUCUCCAUUUCCAAGCGGUGGAGGGUGAUCCAACAAGAGUGCAACAAGUUUUGCGCCACUCUUGAGAGCGUUAAGGCCCGCCCCGUGAGCGGCAUCGGCAUGCAAGACAUGGUGGAGAUCAUGAAGGUGGAUCUCAACACCGUGUCGCCAAGGAAGAGGCCGUGGUUCGAGAAGAUGCAGGCUGACAUGCUCAAGUUCGAGUGA